rnacentral:piRNA from 1 species
UCCAAGGUCAUAUUUUCUUUCUGAGGA